AAAAAACAGCCAGAAUUGGAAAUCUCUCUCCAAUAUAAAAAAAGAGAAAAUAUAGCGUGGAAGUUACGAAGUGCAGAACAUUUCUUUCUGUCAAAAACGUGUAGCCGCAAAUAUACUCCAUAAACUCAAAAAGAUAUUGAGCGACCAAUUUCUUCUUGGUCGAGAUCCGGCGCUGUCCGGAUUUCGCCCAUUUUCAACCUUUUUCUUUCCAAUUUCAUUAGAAUUCUAUUCAGUUCAACAAGGAAAUCAACAAUGAGAAGAUCCAGCGGUCUUGUGGCAUCGAUUCUUGCCGCAUCUGCCUUCUCACUUUUCACAUUUCCUUCACAAUUUCAGGAAGUUCCGCCUUAUGGAUCGCAAUCAUCGUCAAUUGGGAAGGAGAAAUUUUCUCCCAGAUUCGACGGGUUAAGGUUCAUCGAAACCCUAAUUACUGCUCAUAGAUGAUGAAACCCUAAUUUUCGAUGGGAUUAACCUGGUUAAUUAGGUGAUAAAUGAUUCUUAUCAAUUUUUGUCCGAUGAUUUUCUGAGAUGUAUUCAAAUUGGCUCUCUUUGGGCGGCUUUAAAGAUGUUGUAAUGUUUCUCUUCUGAUUUUAGUUCUGUAAAGAUUGCAACUUUAAUUUGGGUAUGGGUUCAAAAACCAUUAAUUUCAAGUUUGAACCAUGGGUAUGGGUUAUUCAAGUUUUGCUCUUCUACUAACCAUUUCCGUGUAUUGGGUGUUGACACCCCUCGUCGACUGAGACGAAGUAGCAUCACCCAAGUAAUCGCCUCACAUUGUUUACCUAAGUGUGGGAACAUCACCAUUUCUUACCCGUUUGGUGUAGAAAUGGUUGUUACUUUGAUGAACACAAUAACGCAGUGCAGUUUUGUGUUUGUGUUCAGCAAAGUAACAACAAUCUUCAACACCAAACGGGUAAGGAAUGGUGAUGUUCCCACACUUGGGUGAACAAUGUGGGGCUAUUACUUGGGGUGAUGCUACUUCGUCUCCGUCUAUGAGUGGUGUCAACACCCAACACACGGAAACUGUUAGUAGAAGAGCAUAACUUGAAUAACCCAUACCCAUGGUUGAAAUUUGAAUAACCCCAUUUAUAUGUUAUGAACCAUACAUUUUUAUUUCAUAUUGAUUUGAGUUUUCUUGGUGAAA